rnacentral:rRNA from 1 species
AUCAAUAAGCGGAGGAAAAGAAACCAACAGGGAUUGCCCCAGUAACGGCGAGUGAAGCGGCAACAGCUCAAAUUUGAAAUCUGGCCUCGGCCCGAGUUGUAAUUUGUAGAGGUGGCUUCUGGUGCGGCGCCGUCCGAGUCUCCUGGAACGGAGCGCCAUAGAGGGUGAGAGCCCCGUAUGGACGGAUGCCAAACCUGUGUGAAGCCCCUUCGACGAGUCGAGUAGUUUGGGAAUGCUGCUCUAAAUGGGAGGUAAAUUCCUUCUAAAGCUAAAUAUUGGCCAGAGACCGAUAGCGCACAAGUAGAGUGAUCGAAAGAUGAAAAGCACUUUGAAAAGAGGGUUAAACAGCACGUGAAAUUGUUGAAAGGGAAGCGCUUGUGACCAGACUUGAGCGCGGCGGAUCAUCCGGUGUUCUCACCGGUGCACUCCGCCGCGCCCAGGCCAGCAUCGGCUUCCGAGGGGGGACAAAGGUCCCGGGAACGUAGCUCCUCCGGGAGUGUUAUAGCCCGGGGCGUAAUGCCCCCUUGGGGGCCGAGGACCGCGCAUCUGCAAGGAUGCUGGCGUAAUGGUCAUCAGCGACCCGUCUUGAAACACGGACCAAGGAGUCAAGGUUUUGCGCGAGUGUUUGGGUGUUAAACCCGCACGCGUAAUGAAAGUGAACGUAGGUGAGAGCUUCGGCGCAUCAUCGACCGAUCCUGAUGUAUUCGGAUGGAUUUGAGUAGGAGCGUUAAGCCUUGGACCCGAAAGAUGGUGAACUAUGCUUGGAUAGGGUGAAGCCAGAGGAAACUCUGGUGGAGGCUCGCAGCGGUUCUGACGUGCAAAUCGAUCGUCAAAUCUGAGCAUGGGGGCGAAAGACUAAUCGAACCAUCUAGUAGCUGGUUACCGCCGAA